rnacentral:rRNA from 1 species
UACAGAGGGUGCAAGCGUUAAUCGGAAUUACUGGGCGUAAAGCGCGCGUAGGUGGUUCGUUAAGUUGGAUGUGAAAUCCCCGGGCUCAACCUGGGAACUGCAUUCAAAACUGUCGAGCUAGAGUAUGGUAGAGGGUGGUGGAAUUUCCUGUGUAGCGGUGAAAUGCGUAGAUAUAGGAAGGAACACCAGUGGCGAAUGCGACCACCUGGACUGAUACUGACACUGAGGUGCGAAAGCGUGGGGAGCAAACAGG